UACAGAGGGUGCAAGCGUUGUUCGGAAUCAUUGGGCGUAAAGCGCACGUAGGCGGCUUUGCAAGUCGGGUGUGAAAGCCCGGGGCUCAACCCCGGAAGUGCAUUCGAAACUGCAGAGCUUGAGUCUUGGAGAGGGUGGUGGAAUUCCGAGUGUAGAGGUGAAAUUCGUAGAUAUCAGCAGAACACCUGCGGCGAAGGCGGCCUUCUGGACGAUGACUGACGCUGAGACGCGAAAGCGUGGGGAGCAAACAGG
rnacentral:rRNA from 1 species